ACAUUUGAUCUCAAAUCAGGUAGGACUACCCGCUGAACUUUUUUUCUUUAUCAAUAAGCGGAGGAAAAGAAACUAACAAGGAUUCCCCUAGUAACUGCGAGUGAAGCGGGAAGAGCUCAAAUUUAAAAUCUGGCGUGCCUAUGGUCGUCCGAGUUGUAGUCUGGAGAAGUGUUUUCCGUGUUGGACCGUGUAUAAGUCUCUUGGAACAGGGCGUCAUAGAGGGUGAGAAUCCCGUCUUUGACACGGACUACCAAUGCUUUGUGAUGCGCUCUCAAAGAGUCGAGUUGUUUGGGAAUGCAGCUC
rnacentral:rRNA from 1 species